AUUGAACGCUGGCGGCAGGCUUAACACAUGCAAGUCGAGCGGGGUGAUGGUGCUUGCACUAUCACUUAGCGGCGGACGGGUGAGCAAUGCUUAGGAAUCUGCCUAUUAGUGGGGGACAACAUCUCGAAAGGGAUGCUAAUACCGCAUACGUCCUACGGGAGAAAGCAGGGGAUCACUUGUGACCUUGCGCUAAUAGAUGAGCCAAAGUCGGAUUAGCUAGUUGGUGGGGUAAAGGCCUACCAAGGCGACGAUCUGUAGCGGGUCUGAGAGGAUGAUCCGCCACACUGGGACUGAGACACGGCCCAGACUCCUACGGGAGGCAGCAGUGGGGAAUAUUGGACAAUGGGGGGAACCCUGAUCCAGCCAUGCCGCGUGUGUGAAGAAGGCCUUAUGGUUGUAAAGCACUUUAAGCGAGGAGGAGGCUCUUUUGGUUAAUACCCAAGAUGAGUGGACGUUACUCGCAGAAUAAGCACCGGCUAACUCUGUGCCAGCAGCCGCCGUAA
rnacentral:rRNA from 1 species